rnacentral:rRNA from 1 species
UUAAGCGACUAAGCGUACACGGUGGAUGCCCUGGCAGUCAGAGGCGAUGAAGGACGUGCUAAUCUGCGAUAAGCGUCGGUAAGGUGAUAUGAACCGUUAUAACCGGCGAUUUCCGAAUGGGGAAACCCAGUGUGUUUCGACACACUAUCAUUAACUGAAUCCAUAGGUUAAUGAGGCGAACCGGGGGAACUGAAACAUCUAAGUACCCCGAGGAAAAGAAAUCAACCGAGAUUCCCCCAGUAGCGGCGAGCGAACGGGGAGCAGCCCAGAGCCUGAAUCAGUGUGUGUGUUAGUGGAAGCGUCUGGAAAGGCGCGCGAUACAGGGUGACAGCCCCGUACACAAAAAUGCACAUGCUGUGAGCUCGAUGAGUAGGGCGGGACACGUGGUAUCCUGUCUGAAUAUGGGGGGACCAUCCUCCAAGGCUAAAUACUCCUGACUGACCGAUAGUGAACCAGUACCGUGAGGGAAAGGCGAAAAGAACCCCGGCGAGGGGAGUGAAAAAGAACCUGAAACCGUGUACGUACAAGCAGUGGGAGCACGCUUAGGCGUGUGACUGCGUACCUUUUGUAUAAUGGGUCAGCGACUUAUAUUCUGUAGCAAGGUUAACCGAAUAGGGGAGCCGAAGGGAAACCGAGUCUUAACUGGGCGUUAAGUUGCAGGGUAUAGACCCGAAACCCGGUGAUCUAGCCAUGGGCAGGUUGAAGGUUGGGUAACACUAACUGGAGGACCGAACCGACUAAUGUUGAAAAAUUAGCGGAUGACUUGUGGCUGGGGGUGAAAGGCCAAUCAAACCGGGAGAUAGCUGGUUCUCCCCGAAAGCUAUUUAGGUAGCGCCUCGUGAAUUCAUCUCCGGGGGUAGAGCACUGUUUCGGCAAGGGGGUCAUCCCGACUUACCAACCCGAUGCAAACUGCGAAUACCGGAGAAUGUUAUCACGGGAGACACACGGCGGGUGCUAACGUCCGUCGUGAAGAGGGAAACAACCCAGACCGCCAGCUAAGGUCCCAAAGUCAUGGUUAAGUGGGAAACGAUGUGGGAAGGCCCAGACAGCCAGGAUGUUGGCUUAGAAGCAGCCAUCAUUUAAAGAAAGCGUAAUAGCUCACUGGUCGAGUCGGCCUGCGCGGAAGAUGUAACGGGGCUAAACCAUGCACCGAAGCUGCGGCAGCGACACUAUGUGUUGUUGGGUAGGGGAGCGUUCUGUAAGCCUGUGAAGGUGUGCUGUGAGGCAUGCUGGAGGUAUCAGAAGUGCGAAUGCUGACAUAAGUAACGAUAAAGCGGGUGAAAAGCCCGCUCGCCGGAAGACCAAGGGUUCCUGUCCAACGUUAAUCGGGGCAGGGUGAGUCGACCCCUAAGGCGAGGCCGAAAGGCGUAGUCGAUGGGAAACAGGUUAAUAUUCCUGUACUUGGUGUUACUGCGAAGGGGGGACGGAGAAGGCUAUGUUGGCCGGGCGACGGUUGUCCCGGUUUAAGCGUGUAGGCUGGUUUUCCAGGCAAAUCCGGAAAAUCAAGGCUGAGGCGUGAUGACGAGGCACUACGGUGCUGAAGCAACAAAUGCCCUGCUUCCAGGAAAAGCCUCUAAGCAUCAGGUAACAUCAAAUCGUACCCCAAACCGACACAGGUGGUCAGGUAGAGAAUACCAAGGCGCUUGAGAGAACUCGGGUGAAGGAACUAGGCAAAAUGGUGCCGUAACUUCGGGAGAAGGCACGCUGAUAUGUAGGUGAGGUCCCUCGCGGAUGGAGCUGAAAUCAGUCGAAGAUACCAGCUGGCUGCAACUGUUUAUUAAAAACACAGCACUGUGCAAACACGAAAGUGGACGUAUACGGUGUGACGCCUGCCCGGUGCCGGAAGGUUAAUUGAUGGGGUUAGCGCAAGCGAAGCUCUUGAUCGAAGCCCCGGUAAACGGCGGCCGUAACUAUAACGGUCCUAAGGUAGCGAAAUUCCUUGUCGGGUAAGUUCCGACCUGCACGAAUGGCGUAAUGAUGGCCAGGCUGUCUCCACCCGAGACUCAGUGAAAUUGAACUCGCUGUGAAGAUGCAGUGUACCCGCGGCAAGACGGAAAGACCCCGUGAACCUUUACUAUAGCUUGACACUGAACAUUGAGCCUUGAUGUGUAGGAUAGGUGGGAGGCUUAGAAGUGUGGACGCCAGUCUGCAUGGAGCCGACCUUGAAAUACCACCCUUUAAUGUUUGAUGUUCUAACGUUGACCCGUAAUCCGGGUUGCGGACAGUGUCUGGUGGGUAGUUUGACUGGGGCGGUCUCCUCCUAAAGAGUAACGGAGGAGCACGAAGGUUGGCUAAUCCUGGUCGGACAUCAGGAGGUUAGUGCAAUGGCAUAAGCCAGCUUGACUGCGAGCGUGACGGCGCGAGCAGGUGCGAAAGCAGGUCAUAGUGAUCCGGUGGUUCUGAAUGGAAGGGCCAUCGCUCAACGGAUAAAAGGUACUCCGGGGAUAACAGGCUGAUACCGCCCAAGAGUUCAUAUCGACGGCGGUGUUUGGCACCUCGAUGUCGGCUCAUCACAUCCUGGGGCUGAAGUAGGUCCCAAGGGUAUGGCUGUUCGCCAUUUAAAGUGGUACGCGAGCUGGGUUUAGAACGUCGUGAGACAGUUCGGUCCCUAUCUGCCGUGGGCGCUGGAGAACUGAGGGGGGCUGCUCCUAGUACGAGAGGACCGGAGUGGACGCAUCACUGGUGUUCGGGUUGUCAUGCCAAUGGCACUGCCCGGUAGCUAAAUGCGGAAGAGAUAAGUGCUGAAAGCAUCUAAGCACGAAACUUGCCCCGAGAUGAGUUCUCCCUGACCCUUUAAGGGUCCUGAAGGAACGUUGAAGACGACGACGUUGAUAGGCCGAGUGUGUAAGCGCAGCGAUGCGUUGAGCUAACCGGUACUAAUGAACCGUGAGGCUUAACCUU